GUGUCAGCAGCCGCGGUAAUACGUAGGGUGCGAGCGUUAAUCGGAAUUACUGGGCGUAAAGCGUGCGCAGGCGGUUUGAUAAGACAGGCGUGAAAUCCCCGGGCUCAACCUGGGAACUGCGUUUGUGACUGUCUCACUAGAGUACGGCAGAGGGGGGUGGAAUUCCACGUGUAGCAGUGAAAUGCGUAGAGAUGUGGAGGAACACCAAUGGCGAAGGCAGCCCCCUGGGUCGAUACUGACGCUCAUGCACGAAAGCGUGGGUAGCAAACAGGAUUAGAUACCCCCGUAGUCC
rnacentral:rRNA from 1 species